AAAGUAAUGAACUGGCCCAGCUGUCGCAAGGUUUUCCAGUGGAUUGAAGGGAUAAAUGUUGGGGGAAUCGAGUCAUCAUAAGGCACGCAGUGGCAUAGCAAUGCUGAGCUCCAGGAUGCCCGCAGUAUAGCCAUCAGUACUACGUUCACGUCGGGAGUCGCGGCUCAGUUUCAGAAAAAUAUCACCUGUCAGGUUAAACUUAGAUGUUCUCAUCAUGAAAACAUUUACCAGUAAAUUUCCUGCAUACAAAUCUUCUCUUAGAGUGUGUUUCCCAGAGAACCACAACUAUGAGAGUUGGUGCCAGGUGUGGUAUGAGGAAGCCAACCCUACAAUGAGAUUUUGGAGCCGGAUCAUCUUCCAGCUGACUGGCAUUGAGGACAGCAUCAAUGGUGACAAGUGGAACAGAGAUCACCCCAGGCUUGUAGCAAUGCAUUCAUUAAAACUGUCACAGUUGGUGUACUGGGAUGGGAUACCAAUGGAAAGGAAUUUAUGGGUGGAUUGUGGAAAGGAAUGCAGAGGUAGGGGCAAUACCACAGGUGUCUGAGAAGUUUGGUGGAAGUAGUUAUUAUAAGAACUGUGGAAUUGGAUGGCUAUUCCUGAGGAAAAUUAAUCAAAUAGAGUAAGACAAUGAAAACUGAGGGAUAUUAAUUAUUAAUUAAAGGUUAAGUAUGAAAGUCAGAAGGCCUUUUGGGCAGCAUAUAAGCAGACGCUUAAAAAUCAAAGGGAUCAGGCAUAGUGCAUAUAAGAAUACUAGUGCUCCAGAGGUGGUUGAAUUUUUAACAUUAGAAAGUCUGUGACACCAAGGCCAUGGCCCUGACUGGGAAAGAGUAGUAGCCUAUGACAUGAAAUGGGGAAAUCGGAACUUCCUAGGGCUGCAGAAAGGGCCCACUAUUCCCUGUUAAAGGACCUUCCCUCCCACCCUCUUGCUUGAAAACAACUUGGAAGCCUCUGUCACGCAAGACAAUAAGAAGUCCCCUUGGGAUCCACACCCAUCUCACAUCCUGGCUACCAGGUCAAUAAUUAGGGUCAAAUCACAAUAAAACUCAUCUGUGGAAGUGCUGGCCCGCUAAGGAAGGAUAGCAACUCUACCUGGAAGGAAGUGCAAGAACUUACCAAUAUGGUAGCUGCUGCUGGGAGGAUGGGUAUGGAACUGGGUCCUGAGGGUGCUGCAUGAAGGGAAGUUAGAACAUAAUAAAGGAGUUUAUCACGGGAGCACGCUUCCAUGAUACAUGAUUUAACAAUAUUGGCAAUGACCCUGAAAAGAAAGGGAAGGCUCACACCAAGCGAAAUAGAAAUUCCAGAGCUGCUGUGGUAGGCAGUGAAAAACAGAUCAGAAGUUUCAGAGAAGAGGGCAUGCUAGAAUAGACAUACAAUCUAAGGUCAGCGAGCCCAUUAGCUGAUUAUGUUCUGGGAAAGGGCCCAGAGAAUAGUCUAUUUAUCAAUGUAUUAAACAAAUGCUCUGGUGAGAGGGCACCAGAUUCACUGAAAUGCUCACUGGUAUUUGUCCUUGAUGAUAGGAGACGCUGAUAUAGAACUGAGCUUCCUGGUAACAAGGGGAUAAUAGGAUUCUAAAAUAAUAAAGACCUGUUGGUCUUUAAUCAUCAGAAGAAAUGAGGCUACAAAAUCAGAGGGGCAUGGGGUGAGUGGGUUUGACCUCUAAGAAGGCUAAGGGUUGGUUAACAGAAGAUGUCUUCCCUAGGAGCAAGACAGAAGGCAGGCAAUAAGGGUAUUGCUUAAUUUAUGCAACAAGAGAAAUCAAGGAUGGAUGAUAAAAGGGCUGAAUGCAUCCAGACCCAAAAGUCAUGAUCCUUUGCUCAGUUUCCAGACCCCGAGCUGUUUUAAGACCUAGAACCCCUGAAUUAAGGGAGAGGCCAUAUCUCCAGGAGGAAGGACUCUGCAAUACCAUGGCAAGUGUAUAUGGUGACAAUCCCCCUAGUCCUUUCCCAAGGACACCUAUGGCAUUUACGCAGAUAACCAAUCACUGGGUAAAAGGCAAUACCCAAACAUUACAAGGACUGUUGGACCUGGGGUACAAUUUAACAUUGCUAUCCAGGGAACCAAAACAUUUUUGUGGACCACUUUUAUAGUGGGGGCAAAUGGGAGACCAGGUAAUAAAUGGAGUCCUGACUCAGGUCCGUCUCACAGUGGAUCUGAGGGUUCUAUAGACCCACCAGUGAGAAAAGUCUUCAAAGGACUUUUCUGUAUAACAGGAAAGAAUAAAAGGAAAGUAAAUACCAAGUUUCAAGAAACCACAACAGCCUAAUUUACAUAAUACAAGUUAUUCAACCUACCUUGAUGGACUAGGUUAGGACUAGGUUCAUGUAUAUUGACCAAAAACUCAAACAAAGAAUGGCAUAAAAAUAUGAAUUCAUUCACUCUUGUAAAAGAAGCCUGCAGGUCUAUCAUAGGGGACUCAGACACUGAUUUUUCUCUUCCACCAUCCUUAACAUGAGGGCUCUAUUUUCAAGGUCAUUUUAUAGUCUGAUAUGAUUGCUGGAGCUCCAGCCAUCAUGUACAUAUACCAGGAAGGAAGAAUAGAAAGGAACAAGCGCCUUAGUGUAUGCCCUCCCUUUAAAAAGAGCCUUCCUGAAAUUUUUACCCAACUUCUAAUGUAACUUGUAGUUACAUUUGAUUAGCUAAACUUCGUUUCACAUGGCCAUGCUAAGUGUCAAGGGAGGAUGAUCAAUAAUAGUUUAUCAGCAGAGAAGAUUGUUUCCUUGAAUAAAGUGGGGUUCUAAGAACAAAGGGGAGAAUGGACAUUGGAUGGACAAUAGCCCUGUCUGCCAUUGCCAAAGACGGCAUCCAUGGCUCAGAAGCUAUAUUCAGUAGAUGUUCUUCAGCUUUAAAGAACUGGGAAAAAUCCAAAGCCACAUUGCCUGUAUUUUGUCUGUACCUUGAGCUCCUCUCCAGAAUCCAUGGGGAGUUUUCAUCUUAGAACCCAUCACCUCAGUGCUCCCUCAGUCUCCCAGGCUGGCUCAAGCCAGAAGAGACAAAUUUUUCUCUGGGCUUGUCCUACUUGGUUUCAAUUUUUGGCCAGGGAGUCAUACCUCUUCCCUAGGUGACUUUCAGUAAAACUCACCAUUUUAGGGUAGUAUGUUGUGGAAUUUUCUGUCCUCUAGCAUGGUAGAUUCUUAUUUUAAUGGCUGCCAAUGAAUCAUGCAUCUGGUACUCACUCCCUUACGUAUUGUAUCGCCUUCCCACACUGACGCUGGCCUUGGCCAUGUGACAUGCUCUGGCCAAUGAGACAUCAGCAAAUGUCAAGCCAGAGACUUGAUAUGUGCUUUUGCACUGGGACUUGUAUUCUUGGAUCACCUGUAAGAAAGUGUAAGAAAGCUAGGUCAUCUUGUUGGAGAGGUUGCAUGGAUGAGAACUGAGACUUAACAGCCAGCAGCCCCAGCUAAUCUCCAGGCAUGUGAGUGAGGCCCUCUUGGAUCUUCCAGCCCUAGAUAAACUACCAGAUGAUUGUAGCCACGUGAGAAAUCAUGAAUGAGAAAAAUCCCAGAACCACCCGGCUGAGCUCAUUUGCAGAAUCAUGAGUAAAUAAAUGGUUACUGUUUCAAGCCAUUAUAUUUUGAGGUGAUCCUUUAUGUAGAAACAGAAAACUGAGACAUAUUGGAAAUUGCUCAGAGAAGUUAUGGCUAGGGUUAGGGUUAUGGGUUGGUCAUAUCCCCUAACCACAAGGCUAUGGUUUUAAGAAUGUGCUCUUCAGUAAGCAUGUGUUGUUUUUGGCCACCCAGCAUCCGUUCCUCCCUCAUUUGGUAAGAACACUAGGAUUUUACUCAGGGCAAUCAAUUAUUCAAUUCUCACAUGUGAUUCCUUUGGCCACAGUGUUUAGACAGGAAGAAGUAGGUGACUUAAUUCAGACAAUUAAAUGUCUGGUCCAGGACUUUUGUUCAAACUCUCUUUUCAUCUAGAAAGCAGACUCUGAAGUUAUGAAAGAUCUGAGGAAACUGGUCUGGCCCUCCUCUUUGGUAAUGGAGACAUACCAAAUAGCCACUGGAAACAUACUGAAUUUUUACUGUAAAGAAGUUCCUAAAGGAAACCCUCAUGUAGAGCUGGAGGGAGUAUAAAUUGAUGCUGCCAUUCUGUUGUAAUCUGACCAUAAUAAGUAAAGUAAAAACACAUAUACAUGUUGAUGCAGCAAAAUAUACCCCAGGGAAACUCUACUAUAAGUCCAAAAGGGGACACAGAUGAAAAUCAUCAUCAGAGCAGUUUCUGGUAGCAGAGAAUGGACACAGGUAUCAAAAACUAGGAGAAUGGGAGUUCCCUGGUGGCCUAGUGACUAGGAUUUGGCACUGUCACUGCAGUGGCCAGGGUUCGAUCCCUGGUCGGGUCACUGAGAUCCUGCUAGCUGCACAGGGAGGCCAAAAAAAAAAAAA